rnacentral:tRNA from 1 species
AGGUAUUUGGCAGAUUAUGUGAUAGAUUUAGGAUUUAUUUAUGCUUAUAACAGUACUA